rnacentral:rRNA from 1 species
UACAGGGGGUGCAAGCGUUAAUCGGAAUUACUGGGCGUAAAGCGUGCGCAGGCGGUUGUGCAAGACAGAUGUGAAAUCCCCGGGCUCAACCUGGGAAUUGCAUUUGUGACUGCACGGCUAGAGUGUGUCAGAGGGGGGUAGAAUUCCACGUGUAGCAGUGAAAUGCGUAGAUAUGUGGAGGAAUACCGAUGGCGAAGGCAGCCCCCUGGGAUAACACUGACGCUCAUGCACGAAAGCGUGGGGAGCAAACAGG